UACAGAGGUCUCAAGCGUUGUUCGGAUUCAUUGGGCGUAAGGGGUGCGUAGGUGGCGCCGUAAGUCAGGUGUGAAAUUUCGGAGCUUAACUCCGAAACUGCAUUUGAUACUGCGGUGCUUGAGGACUGGAGAGGAGACUGGAAUUUACGGUGUAGCAGUGAAAUGCGUAGAGAUCGUAAGGAAGACCAGUGGCGAAGGCGGGUCUCUGGACAGUUCCUGACACUGAGGCACGAAGGCCAGGGGAGCAAACGGG
rnacentral:rRNA from 1 species